AAAGGGGGAAGGGGUGUAGUUAUUUAUUUUCGUGCCUGUAGUUCUAUGGAAAUUCUGAUCAGUUUACAAAUAGUAUGUGUAAUGGAGAACUAAAGGACUGUUUUACUCUUAGGUUUCUGCUUUGGUUUGGGUGGGUUCACCUCUGGGCGUCGGUCAGAACGCAAGGAUGGCAAGACACGGUGAACGGUUGGCUUGUAGUUUCCUGAAGGAACAGAAGACCGUAAAUAACAGCAUGAUAUGUACAGGGCUAUAGCUGGAUCACUAGGAAGGCUACUGCUUGUACCACUGAUCCAGAACUGUGGACGUGGAAUGGUGAUUGUGCUUGUGUGUGGUUGUCCUAUAGGAGAAGGCAGAAUGCAGAGUGCCAUUAAUAUCAGGAAUAAUAUACAGCAAUUAUACAAUGACAUUGCAUGACACCACUUACAAUUUAAACCACAGUUCAAAGGCAUCACUUUACAACACAGUUCACGACAGAUACAGGCCCUAUUCUAAAGUACCGCUAGGUGGCAGUAGUAACACAUUAAUGACUAGGGCAUAACUUCAUAACUGAACGGUGGAAUCGCCAACAUCGGAAAAGGGUUGGGCAUAAUUCUGACUAACAUGCACUGGCGCCAUUUUAUGCUUAACUAACUAAUAAUCACUAACUCUCAUAAAAGGCUUAUACACUAAAAAGGCACGCUUAGGUGCUAUAAUAACCCAAAUCGUAUACAUAGGCACACACAAACAUAAUACACUGGGUGUGUAUUAACUCCUUUAAAUAACGAAAUGACUUCUGUGACUGCAACAUGUCAUCCACUAAUAAAGGAUGGGUCGCGGAUGUUGUUUUUUAAAUCACACUGUGGCAAGAAAGGAGGUCCAUGAAGAGAACAUGGACAGCAACUCGAAGCCCGAGUUCUCGUGGAGUAAAGUCUUAUGAAGGAAUCUGGAAUGUAGUGAACACCAUGCCAUCUUCCAGUCCGUGUAUUCGUGCUGUGGGAUUCCAGUUCCGUGUUUUACAGUAGCCAGACGGCGGGAGGGAUAUGCCAUGUGAAUUGCAGUAUGUAAUGCCAGCAUUUACUUCUGAGUAAAGUUAAACUAAAGUAUACGAACGCCCCGACCUCAGUUCUUAUAGACAUAAGCAAUCUAAAUAAAUGGAUGUUACAAAAUCAAAUGUCUUAGUCAACUGAAUUGAGAUGAAAUGAAUCGUGGAGAAUCACGGACAAACUGAAUUGGUCCACCCACACAGACAGCGUGGUGAAGAAGGCGCAACAGCGCCUCUUCAACCUCAGGAGGCUGAAGAAAUUUGGCUUGUCACCAAAAACACUCACAAACUGUUACAGAUGCACAAUCGAGAGCAUCCUGUCAGGCUGUAUCACAGCCUGGUACAGCAACUGCUCCGCCUACAACCGUAAGGCUCUCCAGAGGGUAGGUCGUGAGGUCUGCACAAUGCAUCACUGGGGGCAAACUACCUGCUCUCCAGGACACCUACACCACCCGAUGUCACAGGAAGGCCAAAAAGAUAAUCAAGAACAACAACCACCCGAGCCACUGCCUGUUCACCCCGCUAUCAUCCAGAAGGCGAGAGCCAGGACCCUCUUCAAGUGACACAGUUUUUUCAGGGAGGAGUGUGGAAGUGGAGGAAGAGGUGAAAGACAGUACCAAUGCAGAUUAUGUGGAUGGAGCAAAUGAGAGAAGGUGCACAGAAAGAGACAGACAAAGUGAGGAUAUUGAAAAACAAGCUGAUCAGUGACUUUGCUAACAAGAAGGCUCAGCGCUGGGCUCUUGGUGAGUAAGGCUGAGCAAGGGCCAGUGAUAACUGACUGUUAAAUGGCAUGGCUAUGGAUAUUGGAUCACCACACACAUGAUGCCCACAGGCUGAAAACAGACUGAGAACAAGAUAUAUCUCAAAGUAAUGGCUGGAUUGCCAUACAUUUUCUUGUGCCUAAUCAAGACCCCAAGUGGAAGAAACCUAUUGAUUUGGUGACCUCUUGACCUUUCGUCUAUCGCCACCAUCAGGCCUUUUCCUUUCCAUUUCCACUUUUACAGCUGCUUAUUUUCUAGUUGGUUUCACUCCUCUAAUCCUGGCUGCUACAGAGGAUCAUGUUGAAGUGGAGUUCCUGCUGGAUAAAGGGAGGGGGCAUCGAAAGCCCAGUCUGAGAGAACCAAAAACACAAUAUGGACAAACAGGUUGGUUCUCUCAGUAUCACUGAAGGUCUUACAUGUGUUGACUUGUUCUGCUUUUUUACAACUUUGCAUAGUUGACCUGGAUGGAUGUCACACUACUAACAAAUGCAAAACUGGAAGCUGUGGCUGCGGCUAUGGUCAUUAUUGCGUUUAUAAACAGUGUGAGGUAAAAAAAUAUGUAUUCACCUUAUUUGGUGGAUAUUUAACAAUUAUUUACUUAACAAACAGUAAGAUAUAUCUGUCCCUGCUAAUGCUGAGUUUUAUGGUGUCCACUAGCUUCCUGCAGCUAGUCGAGGACAUGGGUAAUACAAGAGAUGGCUUGAAGCUGCCAGUUGAUUGAUGUCUCAGUGAUAAAAAAAAAUCAAACAUCCACAUUCCAUUCUAUGAUUAGUGGUGCACGUGAGCCUGCAUUCCAUAGACAAGCUAUGGUGUAUGUUUAGCUGGAAUAGAGAGGAGUAGAACAAAAGCCUGAAUGGUCCUUAGACAUCCUGGUGUCUGGGAAAUUAGGCUGGGGGUUAAGAUAAUGCCAGGGCCAGAUAAAGACAGGAUGAGCCCAACGUGACUUUAUGGUGACCUUUCUCUCUUUGAAUUUUACCUUUAUUUCACUAGGCAAGUCAGUUUAGAACAAAUUCUUAUUUUCAAUGACGGCCUAGGAACAGUGCCUUGUUCAAGGGCAGAACGACAGAUAGUUUACUUUGUCAGCUCGGGGAUUUGAUCUUGCAACCUUUCAGUUACUAGUCCAACGCUCUAACCACUAGGCUACCUGCCGCCCCUAUGGGACGGGUGGAACCAAGCAUUCUGGGUAUUAGCUAUAUUAACUGUGCAUUGUCUGUCAAGGGAAGACUCUCAGUCCAGCAGUCUAGACUGUUGGGCUGACGGUAUCAUUAUCGGGUGGCCUGGUAAAAUAUAUAUUUUUUGCAAUACUGAAUUGAUAUAAAAUAAACAGGAUUGUUUGAAGAAAUGACCAAGUCUCUCAGAGUACUGAAUGUCCACAACACAGGAAAAUAAAUGCACUGCUGUGAAGGAUUCUGGCUGACCCAAAUACUUUAAAUGACACAAUUACAUAAGGAGACAGCCUUACGACAGGAAAACUGAACACUGUCCUUCACAAGAUGAAUAAAAUGAUUAUUUGAUUACAACUGAUUUAUCAUAAACUAAUAAUUACUACAUGUUGACUACACAUUUUGUUACUCUUUCCUGAUAUGAUUUUAUAGGUUAUAGCCUUGUCGGGCACAAACACUUGUAGCUGAAUGCAUUACUAACAACAUCUCAGACAUACCCAUGCGAUUUCAUUAUGCACAUCUCACAAAUCAUUUACAUAAACGCUACAUUUUUUGGUACUUCUUCCUGUUGACAGUUGCAAGCGGUACAAAUGGAUUCAUACAUGUUCUUCCCUUCAUUUUAGUCUAGGUGCCAGUUGCCACAUCGUAAAUGGUAUACUGUGCAGGGGUUUCUCUCUAUACUGUAUAAUAUUACUUGCUGAUGAAAAGGAAAUCAUAUGAUGUUACACGUGUAGAUGUAGAGGGAUAAAGGUGAUGACUUAUUCCACCCCAGGCUUAAACAAGAGCUUGGAGAGCACAGAUGUCAUAGAAUCAGGUUUCAAUUUACGAACAAGAUUAGAACUCUACAUUUUAGUUCAAUGUACUUUGGUUUACAGUGCACACAAAUAACUGUGUACGUCCAUCAAGGGGUGUGUGUGUUUGCAAUCCAAACAAAGCCCUAUUCUGCAGUAUUUGCUGGCCUUGGGUUGAGUUGUACUCUCCUAACCUUGUCUUCCUGCCAUGACGAGUCCAGGGUCAAGAGGAAGAAGUCCCUGAGCUUGUUUCUUGUUUCACUUGCAAGCCGAGUCUCGCUGGCUCUUGGAGAUUGUUGUCCUCUGCCAAAACCCUCCUCCACUCUCCAGGUUGGUAGUUGGCUCAUGAGCUUCAUCUGUGGAAGACAGGUAGUUGUGGAGGCCACGCAUGCCUUCACAAUGGUCUUAGCCUUUUCAGGGGUACACUCGAUUGGACAACCAAGAAUCCUAAUCUUUGCAGCCAUGACGCCGAAUGCAUUCUCUAUGACUCUCCGACAACGAGAGUGGCAGUAGUUCUAGGUACGCCCAGGUUAAUUGAUAUGGACAACUGAAUGAAAGGUAACAAAAUAAUAAAUGUCGGAUAUAAAAUGAAGCCGAUUUGGUCAAGAACAAAAAACACCAUACCAUUUACCAGUAACCAUAUUCCAAAAGCUUUGAUAUAAAGCCAAAAGACUCCUGGACGUCUAG